UGGAGCUUUCUUCAAAUAACUCAAUAUUCUCAUAAAUGCUGCUAAGUGAUACUUACUAGGGGAAUGCAUGAACUCACUAACAACACUAAUCGCAUAUGCAAUGUCUGGUCUAGUGUGUGAGAGAUAAAUAAAUUUUUCCACUAACCUCUGAUAUAUAUAUAUAUAUAUAUAUAUUUUCUUGUUGGUUGGCACUUGAUUAGGACAUGUUGCUAAAUGAUGAUUCUACACAAUAGGGGUUUAGGGUGGUGCACGCCCUAACAUACCACUCUCUAUCAAUAUGUCUAGAACAUACUUCAUUUGAGAAAGACAAAUACUAGUAGCUGAGCGAGUUACUUUGAUUCUCAGAAAAUACUUCAAAGCUCCCAAGUCCUUCAUCUUAAACUAUGAGGCUAAGUACUUCUGUAAUUUACUCAUUUCAUUAAUGUCAUCACCACUAAGAACCAUAUCAUCUACAUAGAUUAUCAGCAAAGUAACCUUACCAUCCCUACGUUUGAUAAAUGUAGUAUGAUCCAAAUUACCUUGGUGAUAUUCAUACUUCUUCAUUGCUUCAGUGAACCUCUCAAACUAUACUCAUGGAGACUGGUUCAAACCAUAAAGAGCUUUGGAAGCCUACAGGCCUUCCCACUGCCACUAGACAACCCAUAACUAGGUGGUAGAUCCAUGUACACUUUUUAUUCAUGAUCUCCAUGUAAAAAGACAUUCUUCACAUGAACUACUUGAAAUGCCAAUCUAAAUUAGUUGCUAUGUACAAUAGAACUUGCACUGUAUUCAUUUUCACAACUGGAGCAAACCUAUCUUGGUAGUCAACUCCAUAUGUCUGCGUAAACCCCUUGGCUACAAGUCUUGCUCUAUAUCUGUCAAUUGUCCUAUCAAGUUUGUGCUUAACUGUAUACACCCAUCGACAUCCAUUAUGUUUCUUUCCCUCAGUUUGCUGAACAAUUUUCCAUUUUUAUUAAAAUCGCUAUGAAAGGUUUACCAAAAUGCUAUAAAACAAUAGUAGAUUAUGGCUCUCAGAUGUUUUCAUCUUCUUCUUCAUCCAAGCAGAUCGAUAACAUAUGGUCACUACUGACUUUUUUUCUUGUAGUUCUCAACUUCCAUCUUUCAAGCUAUCAACCAAGUUGUUGCAUUGCUCCUCACUGUUAGAAGAGCCUCCCUUCCCUCCUCCUCGAUUGAUUGAAAGAAAGAAAACAAAAGCAACUUAUGAAACAAGCCCCUCAUUUCCUUGUUAAACAUAAAUCGACCCAUUAUUAACGAGGACUCAGAAUCUAAGAGCACACUAGUAAUUAACCUGAGUGAGGAAUAUGGAUGGUGGAUCUCUCUCUCUCUUUUUUGAAAAAAUCAACUUCAUUAUCCUUGGUGAAUUUGUUCUGAAUUAGUCGUGUCAAGCUAUUACUAGCUAGCUAAAAACAAUACUGUAGUAUAUUAUUCUCUGCAUUUGGGCAUGCCAACAACAAAAAAUAUUAUUCUCUAUUAUAGCAUAGAGACUAAUUAUCAAAACAGAAAAUAUGAAAAAAGAAGCUCCCAAUCCGAACUUUAAGUCACAAGUUUAACAGUUUACUUUAAAACAAAAGCAAGUUACGAAACAAUCCCCUGAUUUCCUUGUUAAACAUCAACCGACCCAUUAUUAAUGAGGAUUGAGAAUCUAAGAGCAUAUGGACGAUGGAUCUCUCUCUCUUUUUGAAAACAAAAACAAAAACAAAAAUCAACUUCAUUAUCCUUAGUGAAUUUGUUCGGGAUUAGUUGUCUUGAAUUAGUACAGCUUACUUACGCAAUCGAAUAUCAAACCUAGCUAGCUAAAAAGAGAAAAAGAAAGGCCACAACGACAGUACUGUAGUAUACGUGAAGAAUCUUAUGAUCUAUAAUAUUCUGUAUUAUUGGCCAUCAUUUUCAAUCCUUAUUAAAGAAAACUUGCUUCGCCAUAAUUUCAAGUUGUUCUGAAGGCAGGCGUAGAGAGCACGUAGCUUGGCAAGGGAGGUAAGGGCACUUCGAAAGAUUCCUUCUCAUCAUCUAUACAAGGAAAUGUGUUCUCAUCAAGCUAGGGGACAAGGCAAAUUAGCAACCUUUAUACUCGAUAUAUUAUUCCAAGCAAUAUUAUGAUGAUGAUCAAUACGGAAUCUCUGUAUCAUGAUCAGUGGAUGUAUCGAUCGACCAUCCCAAGAAAAAGGAUAUACGUACUCUGCAUAUGUGCAUGCCAACAACUAUAAAAGGAGACCAUGAGGCAAUGAGUUGAUCAUCAAAGCAAACACACAGAAAUCCCAACUAAAAAUCAAUCAGUGAGACAAUGGCUGGAACCAAUGAUAUUAAAAUUAAAGGGUUUGAUUUGAGCAACAACAAAGGCAACACGUCGGGAUUAACCCACUUCGCCAACAGAGCUGCCGAGGGCGACAAGGGCGACAAUAAAAUCGAGGUUGAGGAUGCUAAAGGGCAAGGGAACACGGGAAACUUGAAAGUACUGACCGACUUCGCCCAACGCGGUAAAGUGGGCCAGUCGGAUCGCCAAGAACUACUCAAACCUCAGGCAUGAAAUUGAAGAAGGCCAGACCACAACAACUUGUCUGCUUGAUAGAUAUAUGUGCUAAAUUAUCUACACAAAAAUAAGAGCUGAUGUUUUAUCUGAGGCUCCUUCCUUGGUUAGGCCUCGUUAUCAUGUGUAAUAUUAAUAUUAUUAUUCUAAUAAAAUAAUGGUAGCUUAUUAUUAAAUAUAUCAGAAUUCUAUACGUAUAACUUUUAGAUUAUUGAUACUGAUGUCAACAAGAGAAAAUGAUUAAAAAUUCCUUUCUCCAAUUCGUGAUGUUAGACAAGAAGCAAACAAAUUUAGGAUAAUGGAUUUUAAAAGUUUGGUGACAAAUGAUGGUAAAGAAGAAUUUAGCCACUACUACAAAAAGUGAAAAAGACGACCAGAAAACAACGACGGUCUAAGUGAAAACCGUCGUGGUUUAUAAAAAGACGACGGUUCUAAAAACACCGUCGUGUAAUACAACCUUAGACAACUAAAAAAUGGAGUUUCAAAUGGCUGUUCAAAAACAACGACGUACAUAAUUAAACAACCGACGUCUAUUUGAAACAGAUUUCCUCAGUGUAAAAUCAAUGCCAACAAAGAACGGCAGAAGUUAUGAAUCGACCGACGUAGAAAGUAAAGACGACGAUUUCAAUAAAAACUGCCGUUUUUACUCAUAAAAUAACACGACGAGGUUUUCGUAUAAGACGCCGUAUAAUUACAAACAAAUCCACGGCUUUAAAAUACAAAAUAUCGCCGUAUUAAAUUAAUUUACAACGACGGAAAAUAUAAAUAUAUCGACGUCAUUCUCGUAUAGUUCUACUACGUUAUCUUUAAAUCGUACAAUAAAAUUUAUCGUCGUAUUUAUUCAUUUUAUACGUCGUACCUUUAAUUUUAACGGUCGUCUUAAUAAGAAUUUUUGUUAACAAUUUUUUUCUUUGAUUUUCUUAUCCUACGUCGGUAGAUCUACUUAAUGACAAGAAUUGAAAUAACCACGACGGUUUAUAUAGAACACCGCCGACAUAAUCAGUUUUGUCUGAGAUCCCAAGGGUUACGAAAUCUUACCAGAUGGAACUCUGUUCCACAUCAUAAUCUUAACAGAUGACACAGAUUUGCAAAUAUUGCGUCGUGUUAGUUUACAAAUUCUAGAACAUUAAUUUCCCUCAUUUUAAAUUUCCUCGGGAAAGAAAAAUCUAUUUAUCACGCUUUGGAAUUGAAAACUAAAACUGAAAGAAUACGGGAAAAAAAACUCCAUUUAUAAUUUAAAAUUAAAAUCCACGUCGGUUGUAGUACACUUAACGACGUUUAACAAAAUAAUCUACGUCGGUAAUUAUAAAUCUACCGCCAUCGUAACUUAAUAUAGACGACGAGAAAAGACGACGGUAGAACAGAAAACCGCCGUUGUUUCAGUUUCUUUAACAUAUCUUUCUGCAGGACUUGUGUAGUUCAAAGCAUUGACAAUGUCUUCAUCAUAUCUCCCAGAAACUACUGAUUCAAUUGCUCAUGCUUUAGAGGCCAUCUGAAGCCAUUUCUAUUCUUUAUCGCAUUCUUGAAACCCAUCUUCUUCUUCUGAAGCUCUACGGAUAAAGGAAGAGGCUAUCACAAUAAAUCCGACGGAUCUUCUUAGGCAAGAAAAUCAAGCAGAGGAUCAGGCACAUCUGAUCUUCAGAUUUCCCUGAGAAGCGAACUUUCCUUCGACAGCGAGUGGAGGCCAGGCUUGCAUCUCUUUUGAUGGAAAGCAAGGAGUAUUCAGAAGCACUAAGUGUCCUAUCAGGCUUGAUCAAGGAAGUGAGAAGGCUAGUUGACAAGCUUCUUCUUGUGGACAUAUAUUUGAUGCGAGUAAGCUCAAUUUCUCUUUGAGAAAACAUCCAAAUUAUUAUCUUUGAGACAUGAGAGACUGAGAGAGGAAGAACUUGGAACCUUAAAUGUAAACCGAAAAUGAAUGAAAGCGACAAAUUUAUAGAAUAAAUUUUUAAAACCAACGGCGGUCCUUACAAACAAACCGCCGUUUAAAUUGUAAAAUCAACGUCGGUAUGAUCGACGUAUAUUACAGAAAUCCACGUCGGUAAAUUAAUAAAAACGACGUGUUAAAUAAUAUACCAUGACGCGAGUUAUUACUUAUGUACUUUAAUUUUUGAGUUUACUACGACGGUACCUACAAACUACUGUCGUAUUUAUUUACCACGUCCGAAGUUAAAUGUACCGUCGUAUUUUGUAAUUUAUACGUCGUAGUUAUAUGUAACCGCCAUAUUAUUUUUUUGAAAUGGUUUUAUAUGUAAGCAACUUUUCGUCUACUUGACUUACACAUUUGUUGUUUUUAUAUUCUUAUUUUAUUUAAAUCUGUCAUCCAAAAAAGAAACUUUACAUAUUGCAGAAUAUUAAUUUCCUUCGUUUUAAAUUUCCUCCGGAAAAAAAACUCUAUUUAUAACGCACUGUAAUUGAAAAAUAAACUGAAAGGUCACGGGAAAAAAAAUUCUAUUCAUAAUUUAAAAAUUAAAAUCCACGUCGGUUAUAUUAAACCUAACGACGUUAAAUGAAAUGAUUCCACGUCGAAUGAAAAAUAUUGCGUCGUUUUAGUUAAAAACGACGUAGUUAAAUGUAACCGCCGUAUUAUUUUUUUGAAAUGGUUUUAUAUGUAAGCAACUUUUCGACUUACACAUGCACUGUUUCCAAACCCGAUUAAAAAUUUCAAUCUCCCAGAGAAACCUUUUCGUCUUUUUUCCUUGUCAGAGCAUUGUCAGAGUUUUUCAUCGUCUUCCUCUCGUCUUCUUCGUCGUCUCUGAACUUAAACAUCGAUCAUCUUCCUCUUGCUUUCAUUGCACGCAAAAGGUAAGCUUUCAUUUUCACUAUUUUGGUUACUGUUUUGCAUGCUCAUACGUUUUUUGUUUGAAAAAUCUUUUUACCUUUUUUCUGGCCAAAAUCAUUUUACUUCUUUCCAAGUUUGAUAAAAUAUACAGACAAAGAGAGAAAGUUUCCAACUUUGAAGACAACUACAUCAACUAAAUAAGACGACGGUAGACCACGACGGUUCGUCAGUUGUUCUAGCGUCGUCUGAAAAUUGACAAAGUUGUUUUUAAAAUAAUAGUCUUUUUUUAUAUGCUUGUUUAAUUGCAGGUUUGAUUUCGCUGAACAAUGGUUUUUGUUUUUCCCUUAUUUGAUAAAAUAUAAAGAAAAAGAAACUAGGGUUGGUAUCUAAUAUAGACGAUAAAAUAUAAAUAAUAGUUUACCACGACGGUGUAUUACUAUUGACGUCGUGUGAACAUAUAUACCACGACGUUAUAUAAAUAAUGGUUUUAAACAUUUAUUACGUCUGAGAUUAUUUCAUUGCGUCGUCUAAAAUCAUAUCAUACGUCGUAUUUUUUUAAUACCGUCGUUUGUGUUCUUAAUGUUUUCCUGAAAUAUUUUCACUUGCAGUUUUGUCUGUUAAAAUGGUUUCUCAACAACAAACUAAGGAUUCUGGCUCCAAGAAGCUUGGAAUGGUAGCUCCUCAAGAUAAGUCUUCGAAGGAGAUGAAGUCUUCGAAGAAGAUGAAGUUUGCUUCAUCAUCUGCUGAGACAGAACAAACCAGCCAGACAACAAUCUCAGAUGAUUCAAAGACUGGUCGAGGUAUGAGCACAAUGCCUCGUGUUGUGAAGAGAAAGCUUCAGAAACUGAGGCCAAUUGUUGAGUACAAUAAAAGGGGGAAAGGUGUUGGCCAAGCACAUAUUGAGAUGCAGUCGUAUAUUGGUGUGUUGGCACGCUCCAGGAUCCCACUUGUGGACAAGAAAUGGUCCCAAAUCCCCAAGGAUAUAAAGGAGCAGAUUUGGGAAGCAGUUGACAUGGCUUUUGUCGUAGGCCAAGGGGGCAAGACCUCUGUUUUAGCUUCUGCUUCCAAGAAAUGGAAGGAUUUCAAGUCUACACUAACGAGGCAUUAUAUCCUUCCAUACACCAAUGACAGGGAGAAAUUAAGCCAACCCCCUGAAACAUAUAAAUUCAUAGAGAAAGCACAAUGGGAUGCCUUUGUAGCUUCAAGGCUAUCCAAAGAUUUUGAGUCUGUGCAUUCUCAACAUGCACAGAUUAGGGAGAAACUCGAGUACAAUCAUCGAUUGUCUCGAAAAGGAUAUGCUGGAUUGGAGGAUCAAUUGGAGGAAACCAUGCCUGGGGUAGAAAUUGAUCGAUCUACCUUAUGGAAGAGAGCUAGACAGGACAAACAUGGUAACAUCCCUGAUCCAAAGGUGGCAGAGAAAGCAAAAUUAAUUGUAAGCCUACUAUCACUCUGUUUUAAAUUUUUAUUAAACUGUGAAUUAUUCUUAUUACGUCGUAUGUUAUAUUUUUCGUCGUGUGAAUGAUAUUACCACGUCGAAAAGUUUUUAAAAACGUCGUUAAAGGUCUAAAUAGGAAUCACUACUAUGUUUUCUGUAAUUACAGCAUAAGACGUCGGUGGUUCAUUUUCGCGUCGUGUGAAUGAUAUUACCACGUCGAAAAUUUUUUAAAAACGUCGUUAACGGUCUAAAUAGGAAUCACUACUCUGUUAUCUUUAAUUAUAGCAUAAGACGUCGGUUGUUUAUUCAUUUCGUCGUUUUAAAUAAAUAACCACGUCGGUAUAACUACCGUCGUGAUAAGUUAUAAUAACGUCGGUUUAUACGUUAUUGCGUCGUGUGAAAUUAUAUAAUACGUCGUUUGUACAUAAAUAACCGUCGUGUGUUUUUUUGUUUAUCUUUUUUUAGGAUGAAUUGCAGAAACAAGUCUCGGAAGGCAAAGUCAGAGUAGAUGGCAGCAAUGAUGUGCUGACCAUGGCUUUGGGCCCCGAGCAUCCAGGCAGACUGAGGGGAGUUGGUGCUGGUGUUUCCCCAAGGCAAUAUUUCAAUUUGCCCAAACCACAGAGGGUGAGCUUUGACGACCGUUUGAAGGACAGUUUAAGAGUUCUCCUUCAAGAAGAGACUAAAAAGAUGGAGGCUAAGGCAAGGGAAGAGGCCUUAAGGAUGGAGGCUAGGACAAAACAAUUGGUAGAGGCUGAGAGGGAGCAUUUCCUGAGUCAGCUUUCCCAAUUAAUUCCCAAUUUUGAUCCAAGCAUGCUUAAACCAAGAAUUAGCCAAAGCCCCAAAAAUCCAAUGUCUGACAAAGCUAGCUGCUCUGGAGGUGAUGUGAGAUCCCUACAUUUGGAGGAUGAUACUGCCAAAAUGGGGAAACAUCAGCCAGAUGAAGAGAAGGAAGAAGAAAAAAGAGAUGAAGAGAAGGAAGAAGAAAAGGAGAAAGAAGAUGAAGAAAAGCAUGACGACAAGGUAUGUUCACAUAACUUUGCCUUUUUUAUUUGUUUUUCAAAAUUUCAGACGUCGAUAUUUUUAUUUAAUCCGUCGUUUGUUUAAAACUUAGACGGCGGAAUUUUUUUAAGACGUAAUAAAAUAUUUAAACGACGGUUUUUGCACCGUCGUUUAAAUGGUUUCAGACGACGCUUUAUUCAUAAAACCGUCGUCUUUAUUGAAUUACCACGACAGUUUUUUCACCGUCGUUUAAAUACUUUUAAGACGACGUUUUAUUACUUAAACCGUCGUCUUUAUUGAAUUACCACGUCAUUUUUUUUAUUUCUUUAAACAGGUUAUUGAAGUUGGUGCUUAUUCAAAAAUGGAGGCGCCAUCUUCUUUAAAAACCCUUUGUCGUUUUGUGGAAACGACACUCCUGCCUGAGGAUAAGACACUCCAAUUUACAAUUGAUAAGGAGGUGUUUGGUGGUGAGCGCGAUACCUUCCUCCUGCCUGAAGAUAUUACACAAUUUGCAGGCAUGGAAGAAAUUGGAGCUACUGUAUUGGCUGUAUAUAUGAGGUUUGUACUUCUAAAAUAAUACCUCGUUGGUUUAUAUAUUGCGUCGUCUUAACUAACUAACCACGUCGUCUUAACUAACUACCGUCGUGAUAAAUAUAUUAUAACGUCCUCAUCUAUUUCAGUACGUCGUGUGAAAUAUUAUAAUACGUCGUUUUUUUAUACAUAACCGUCGUGUUUGUUUGUGCUGACUUGUUUAUAUUAUUUUAUGUAUUUAGGUACUUACACGAUGUUUUGAAACAAGCCAAUAUGUGCAGCAUGGUUGGCUUUAUUGACCCUGCUACAGUUAGUGCCAACUCUGGCACAAUAACUGAAAGAUCACGACUGGUAGCAGCUCGACUUCAGAAGACAGACGGUGAACAGCUUUUCAUGAUGCCUUACAAUCCAGGGUUAGUCUCCUUAGGAUUUUGUUUUUAUGAUUUUCAAUAAAUGACAGCUUAUAAACUAACCACGUCGGUGUUUUAUUUUAUUUAGUCGUUUGAAACUACUAACCACGUCGGUAUUUAUUUGUCGUCGUGAUAAAUAUAUAAUGUUGUCGUUAUCUACUUUAUUUCGUCGUGUGAAAUACUAUAAUACGUCGUUUUUGUAAAUAACCGUCGUUUUUAUAUUAAUUUUGUGCAGCCGUCAUUGGAUCCUGCUGAUUGUAAGAGCAAAGAAGGAGACCGUCUAUUUUCUGGAUCCUCUGCCAGGUCAUCGUGUGGUCGACGAAGAGGCGAAAAACAUCGUGAACAGUGCUUUAAAAAUAUAUAAUACCCACAUAGGCCGAGCAGGACGUAAAAAUGUAAUUUGAAAAACUCUCUCAGGCACACCAAAGCAACCCAGCAAUGUCGAAUGCGGGUAUUAUGUGAUGCGCUUCAUGAGGGACAUCAUCAUGGAUCCUUCCUUGGGGUUUGAGAAUAAGGUAAGAAGAAAUUACCUUCAUACAUUUCACGUCGUUUUUUGUAUUAUCAACGACGGUCAUGUAAAAUUAACGUCGUUGAAUGGAUAUACUACGUCGGUUAUGAAAAAUAUCGUCGUCUGUGAUUGAAUUUCUUUUUAUUUAUAAACCCUAAUAGUCAUUGUUUAUGCAGUAUGCCAAGGGAAACCAGGAAGCUUCAUACCCCCAAGAAGCCAUUGAUGAAGUCCGGAAUGAAUGGGCAGAGUUUGUUUUCCAAAUUAUUAAACAGGGCAAUUAUUGAACACUUGAUAUUUAUGUAUAAUGUACCAAUUUUCUCUAUAAUAUGUAAUGUAAAAAUUUGUUGAGGUUUUCUUAAAUUAAAAAAAAAACAAACAUACAAAUUGCUUAACCGACGUGUAAUACUUUUCCAACGACCUAAUAAAGUCACAAACCGUCGUAUUUUGUUGUUUCGUGUUUUAAACAAUUACGACGUAAAAAAAUAGUUAGACGACGUUCUUUGAACAAUUGAGUCGUUAAUGGUUUACAAUAUCUUCAAUUUCUUAAGGGUUCAGGGUAUAAUCGACGACGUUUAUGUAACGACUGCGGUUAAGUCGUAAAAUAUAUAUUUUACGUCGUAUAGUUAAAUAGCCGCCAUGGUUUUUCAUUUUAACGACGUCAUUUUAACGACUUAGUAGUCUAUUACAAUUUACAACGUCUACAAUUUAUUAACACCGACGUGGUUUGUUGUUGUGGUAAGAAUAUUUUAUUAUUUUUAUAUCAAAAUAUUCAAAAUAAAUUUAAAAUAAAUCAGAAAAUUGAAAAGUCAACUCCUAUGAAGUCAUUGAUAUAUUUUCUUCCACAUAAACCUUGAAAAAAUUCAUUUUGAAUAACAAAAAUUUAAAAUGACCAUCCAAAACAAAAUUGUUUUGAUGACUCAUAAAAUCACUUCUAGUUUUAUGGUUUAGGGUUUAGAGUCUAGGGUUUAGAGAUUAGGGUUGUUAUUUAUUGGGGUUUAUUUUUAAAGUAUAAUUUUUGGGUAGUCUAGGGUAUAUGUUAGGCUUUAAAACCAUAAAACCUUUUAUAAACUUAAUUUUUUAAAUUGUAUAAUUUAAUUUUAUGGGUUUAGGGUAUUAAUUUUUAACGACGGUGGUUGGGUCGUGGAAUACAUAUUUUACGUCGUACAGUAAAACAUACGACAUGGUUUACGCUUUAAACGACGUCAUUUUAAUAUGUAAGUCGGUUUAUAUAAUUUACAACGUCAACGUCUUUAAUUUCUUAACACCGACGUGGUUUUUCAGUCGUCGUUAUAUAAAAAAUUCAAAAUAAAUUUAAAAUUAAUCCGAAAAAUGAACGGCCUUACGUUCUUAAUCCGAAAAAUGAAGUUUCCGUCGUGGAAUAUUAAAUUUACGUCGGUACUUGUAGAACUUUCGCCUUGGUUUUUCUUUCGACGUUUUAAAACGCGCGCGCUCUAAAAAUUUUCGCGCGACCUAAACUUUUUUAGAUUUGGCUCUUAUUCUUAUACUUCGAACCCUGAAACCUAAAANNNNNNNNNNNNNNNNNNNNNNNNNNNNNNNNNNNNNNNNNNNNNNNNNNNNNNNNNNNNNNNNNNNNNNNNNNNNNNNNNNNNNNNNNNNNNNNNNNNNNNNNNNNNNNNNNNNNNNNNNNNNNNNNNNNNNNNNNNNNNNNNNNNNNNNNNNNNNNNNNNNNNNNNNNNNNNNNNNNNNNNNNNNNNNNNNNNNNNNNNNNNNNNNNNNNNNNNNNNNNNNNNNNNNNNNNNNNNNNNNNNNNNNNNNNNNNNNNNNNNNNNNNNNNNNNNNNNNNNNNNNNNNNNNNNNNNNNNNNNNNNNNNNNNNNNNNNNNNNNNNNNNNNNNNNNNNNNNNNNNNNNNNNNNNNNNNNNNNNNNNNNNNNNNNNNNNNNNNNNNNNNNNNNNNNNNNNNNNNNNNNNNNNNNNNNNNNNNNNNNNNNNNNNNNNNNNNNNNNNNNNNNNNNNNNNNNNNNNNNNNNNNNNNNNNNNNNNNNNNNNNNNNNNNNNNNNNNNNNNNNNNNNNNNNNNNNNNNNNNNNNNNNNNNNNNNNNNNNNNNNNNNNNNNNNNNNNNNNNNNNNNNNNNNNNNNNNNNNNNNNNNNNNNNNNNNNNNNNNNNNCUGUUUUUGUUUAAAACCCGUCGUCUCAUGUUGUUUAUACCUUGCGAUUAGAUCAUGUAUAAUCUGCUAUAGUGAUGGUCAUGCCUGUAUUUUCACUUUUAUAUAGAUAAUAGGUUAUAGUGUCGGAGAUGGAUAAGUCAUGGAUGCACUCGGAUAGAAGAUCGAAGGCAUAUGAGUUUGGGGUGGAAGCAUUUUUGAACUUUGCUGUAGAAAAUCUUCUAACUACAACACAUAUCCGUUGUCCAUGUGUUAAAUGUGUUAAUUUGAAGUUGUUUGGGGUUGGAAUUAUAAGGGAUCACUUAUACUUUAAUGGAAUUGACCAAAGCUAUAAGAAUUGGACAUUUCACGGAGAACCUUGGGAAGCAACUACUAAUGCUAGCAGAAAUGUUGAAGAAGAUGAUGGCCAUAGUAGGUACAGUUUUGUGUCUGAAGAAAUUGAUAUGGAUGAUAAUGAUUUUGGUGAUUUUGGUUCGGAUCCGUAUGAGUUUGCCAAUGUGAUUGGGGAUGGAGAUCAACCAGUGUACCCUGGUUGUAGAAAGUACACGAAGUUAUCGGCAUUAGUGAAGUUGUAUAAUUUGAAGGCAAAACAUGGGAUGAGUGAUGUCUGUUUUACAGAAUUAUUGAUACUUCAAGGCGAUUUGCUUCCAGAAGGAAAUACAAUACCAACCUCCAUGUAUGAGGCUAAAAAGACUUUGUGUGCAUUGGGGCUGAGUUAUGAGAAAAUGCACGCAUGCCCCAAUGAUUGCAUCUUGUAUAGGAAGGAGUAUGAGGAUUCAACUAAUUGUCCUACUUGUGGUAUCUCAAGGUGGAAGGAAGGCAAAGAUGCAAUCUUGAAAGAGGGUGUGCCAGCGAAGGUGGUGUGGUAUUUUCCCCCAAUUCCAAGGUUUAAAAGGAUGUUUCAAUCACAUGAGACAGCUAAGAGUUUGACUUGGUGGCAUGUUGCUAGAAAAUCAAUUGACGGUCAGAUGUCUCAUCCGGCGGAUUCCCCGUCUUGGAAACUUCUUGAUGAUAAAUGGCCUGAGUUUGGUAAUGAGCCGAGAAACUUGAGAUUGGCUCUUUCAUCUGAUGGAUUCAAUCCCCACAGUUCUCUAAGUAGCAGAUAUAGUUGUUGGCCGGUUAUCUUAGUUACAUAUAAUCUCCCUCCAUGGCUGUGCAUGAAACGAAAGUUCAUGAUGUUAACCUUAUUGAUUUCCGAUCCUAAACAACCCGGAAAUGAUAUAGACGUCUACUUGGAGCCUUUGAUUGAUGAUUUAAAAUCCUUGUGGGUUGGGAUUAGAGGAGUGUAUGAUGCACAUAAUGGAGAAUACUUUACACUCAGAGCUGCAUUAAUGUGGACAAUUAAUGAUUUCCCCGCCUAUGGAAACUUAUCUGGUUGUGUUGUUAAAGGAUAUAAAGCUUGUCCAAUAUGCGGCGAUGAUACACCUAGUCAAACAAAUAUUUUUUGUUGACGACCCGAUGCAUCGUGGUUGGUCGUGUAGGCGUGUGAGUGUGUGUUUGUGUUUGUUUUUGUGUGUGUGUGUGUGUGUGUGUGUGGUGUGUGUGUGUGUGUGUGUACCAUUACUNNNNNNNNNNNNNNNNNNNNNNNNNNNNNNNNNNNNNNNNNNNNNNNNNNNNNNNNNNNNNNNNNNNNNNNNNNNNNNNNNNNNNNNNNNNNNNNNNNNNAUGUAAUUGGCAGUGUAUGACAUUAAUUUUGUAAUAUAUUGUAAUGUGAUUUCUUCACUUUCUACGUUCAAAUAAAACACGACGUUAUUGUGAAUCAGUUAUUCAGCAUAUUUACCGACGUCUUAAAGCAACGUAACAAUGAAGAACCACGACGCUAUUGUGAAGCAAUUAUUCAGGAUAUCACGUCGGUGAAGGAUAAAGAACCGCCAUGUAAUUCAAAAUAACACGACUCCAAUCCCAUAAUACCGACGUCUAAAAAACGAGAUAUGUAAUCUGAACGUUAAAAAAUACGACGUCAUCAUACAUUUUCCACGUCGCAAGUUCUUUUAUAAACGAAGAGGAACGAAAUUAAUUCCGACGGAAAUUCAUUAUAACCGCCGUCUAAUAACAAUUAAACGACGUUAUUUGUAAUACGGCUCCCAUCAUAAUCUACGCCGUCUAUAUGUUCUGUAAUACGGCUCUCAUUUAUUUGGAACCGACGUUGUUUAGACGUUCAACGUCGUCUAUAUUAUUAAGUGCGUCGUGAGUAAUGAAUACAUAUAAAUACAACGUCGACUAUAUAAAUGUAUACGUCGUAAAUAAUGACACUGACAACUAUUUCCACGUCAUCUUUUUUAGAUAAAAUCGAAGUGGAAAAUUUAUUUCACGACGGUUUUUUGUAAAUAAGAGACGUUGUAGAACUUUAGCAGACUAAACACGUCUGUUUUUAUUGUUUUCCGACGUUGUUGUAUUUAACAACGUCUAAUAUUUAUGGUCGUUGUUUGUUUCUGAAAAUAGGACGUAUAAAUUUUUUAAUACGACUCUCAUAUAUUUGUAACUGACGUUGUUUAGUUUUUCAACGUCUACUAUAGAAACACAUACGUCGUAAAUAAUGACACUGACAACUAUUUCCACGUCAUCUUUUAUCAAAAAAUCGAAGUGGAAAAUUAAUUGUACGACGGUUGUGUUUAUAUGUGCGACGUAGUAGGUAUCAAUAACAUCGUCUUCUAAUGUAUUUAAAGACGUCAUAUUUUUUAUUGUCGUGAAAAUUAUAUUUAACGUCGGCGUAUUUUUAUUGUCGUCGUUGUAUGUCUAUCUUGCGGCCUUGUUCUCUUAAUAUGUGUCAUAUUUUCCCUUUUUAACGACGGUCUUUUUAGAGAAUUGGUCGUCUAUUAUCAUCAUCGAUUGCUUUUUUUAGAUCUUUUUGCAGUACAAAGACGUCGUUUUGUAUUUUUUGAUGACGUUGUAUUGUUUAACAACGACGGUUAUUUAGCGUCGUGGUUUAUGAGGGAAAAGAUGACGGUGGAUUCCACGACCAUUGAAAAACCAAAUACACGACGGUGAUUUACCGUCGUCUUUUUGCUUUUUUGUAGUAGUGAUCGGAAACUUGACUAAUUAGAAUACAACAUAUGUCGAAAUAUUUUUAUCAUAAAUGGUCUCUAAGGUUCGUGAAAUUAUUAGCUUUAGUCCUUCAUGUUUUUUUGUGACAUCAUUGGUCCUUUAUGUUACUCCUCUUCACACAUCAAUUUGGUUCUGCCGUUUGGAUUCGUCAAAAUUUAUGUUAAAUUGAUGGCAUGACAUGUAUAUGGUGCCUACAUAUCCAAUGAGAUAAUGACCCGUGGAUCUAAGUAAAAAAUUUGUUUUAAAAAAAUAGUUUCAUAUUUAAAAUUUUUAAAGGGCGAAGACUCAUUGGGUAACUCGAAGUUUGGGUUGUUGAAGCCUUCAAGCAUGGUUUUGCUCACAAAAGAUUGGAACGCAAUGUGUUGGGUUGAGCACUGAAAACCAAAGAAUAUCAAAAAUGUAGUAGGGGGGAGAGAGAGAGAGAGANNNNNNNNNNNNNNNNNNNNNNNNNNNNNNNNNNNNNNNNNNNNNNNNNNNNNNNNNNNNNNNNNNNNNNNNNNNNNNNNNNNNNNNNNNNNNNNNNNNNACCUCAUGUCAGCACUUAAUAGAAAAUUUGACGGACCCUAACGGCAUGGAUCAAAUUGAUGUGUGGUGUGUAACAAAAAGGAUCAAUAAUGUCACAAAAAACAUAAAGGACCAAAGUUGAUAAUUUUGCGAACCUUAUACACCAUUUAUGAUAAAAACCCUAUAUUGUAUAAUUUUAGUGUGUUUUUUUCUUAAAUGCUAUUGAGAAGAGAUUUUAUAAAACUGCUAUAUAAAAGGUUCACCACAAUGCUAUAAAACAAUAGUAGAUUAUGGCUCUCAGAUGUUUUCAUCUUCUUAUUCAUCCAAGCAGAUCGAUAACAUAUGGUCACUACUGACUUUUUCUUGUAGUUCUCAACAUCCAUCUUUCAAGCCAUCAACCAAGUUGUUGCAUUGCUCCUCACUGUUAGAAAAGCCUCGUUUCCCUCCUCCUCCUCCAUUGAUUGAAGGAGAGACAACAAAAGCAACUUAUGAAACAAGCCCCUCAUUUCCUUGUUAAACAUAAAUCGACCCAUUAUUGAUGAGGACUGAGAAUCUAAGAGCACACUAGUAAUUAACCUGAGUGGGGAAUAUGGAUGAUGGAUCUCUCUCUCUCUCUCUCUCUCUUGAAAAAAUCAACUUCAUUAUCCUUGGUGAAUUUGUUCUGAAUUAGUCGUGUCCAGCUACAAGCAAUACUGUACGUAGUAUAUUAUUCUCUGCAUUUGUGCAUGCCAACAACAAACAAAUAUUAUUCUCUAUUAUAGCAUAUAGGCCGUCAUUUUCAAUCCUUAUAAGAGAAAACUUGCUUCGCCAUAAGAGUACGUAGCUUGGCAAGCAAGGUAAGGGUACUUCAAAAGAUUCCUUCCAUCAUCUAUAUAAGACACAUGUGACAUUGCAUGUCUCAUCAAUCAUGUUAAGAUAAAGCUAGCUGGCAAGGCAAAUUACCAACCUUUAUGCUCGAGUAUAUUAUUCCAAGCAGAUAUAAAUGUUAAUAUAUGUGAAGAAUAUUAUGAUCAAUAUAGAAUAUGUAUCAUGAUCAGUUAUGGUAUCGACUGUCAGAAAAUAUCAUCCGCAUAUGUGCAUACCAACAUUAUCGAAAGACAGUAGGAGUAUCGUCAUAUCCGAUACAAGUAUCGGAGCAUGGGUAAGAGUAUAUAUACAAGCAUACCCGUCCAAUUAGGAGAAUCAGUGCAACAUAGAUGAAAAGAAAUUAGAUGUGAUUUCACAUAUUUUUAAAGAAUAGGGGAAAUAAACCAAUUAAUCUCUUUUGUCUUCUCCAUACAUUUUUGGUUGUGAAUUUUGGUUUUCGAAGAAUUUGGCAUUUCAAGCAACUUGGAAAACAUUUUGAUGAUCCAUUGAACCUUGUUAAAGUCGAUAUUCAAUCUCUAUGGACUUUGGCCGAAAUGUCUCAUUUCAAUUGGAAAGUGACAUUGAGAUUUGAAAAGACUAGACAUUAAGGUGGCAAGAGAAGUCUAAAAGGAUCAAACAGAAAAAAAUAAUGAAAAAUUGAAAAUAACCUAGAAAGGGGAGAAAAAAUUAGUUGCAAUAGGGAUAAUAAUGUUUGAGUAAUGCUAAACGAACUCUAAAAUUAACUUAGUACACCCUACUAUCAAACUAUUUAUUGAAUUACUAAUUUACCCUAAUAUAAAAUGACCAAAAAGGAUAUAUUGAAUUGUGCAGCAAAUGUAAUUUUAAUAAGUACACAUUACUCACCAUAUUCAACCCUAAUAUUCGAUGGAGGCGACAUUGAAUGCUAUGAAUCCAACCCAAACCCACCACCACCGUCCCUCUCUCUCUCUCUCUCUCUCUCUCUCUCUCUCUCUCUCUCUCUCUCACAAAUUAUCUUAUUUGCUCUAAAUUUUUUGCAAUGAGUCAGAAUCUUCUAUGUGUAUGUGGCAUUCGUUCAUUAGACUUGGUUAAUGCAUUCAACCCACCCAAAACAAUAAUCAUUUGAUGUUCAUCCUCGAUGUUGGUGGUUUCAAGUGAGCAUGUUCCCAAACGGCUCUUACACUUGCCCACUAGAACUCCAGCUCCUCACCCUCUGAUGAAUCUAAUGACAAUUAUGUUGUUGUUUGCACCAUAAACACCAACUUCCAACAACUCCAAUACAACCUAUUUCUUCUUAAUUAGAUACCUUGGGGGUUGAUAGCAACCUCAAUAGUCUAAGAAACAAACCCACUUCGGAAUUUUCCUUCUUCCACUAGUUGAAGGGAGAUGGGUUCCAACACGAUAUUACGCGCUUAUUAGAAUCUUAUACUCGUCGAGUCUGGGUUGGCUGGUGAUAAGCAGGGGAAGGGUGGAGUUGGGUUGUGUUAGAGAGAGAGAGAGAGAGAGAGAGAGAGAGAGAGAGAGAGAGAAAGAGAAAGAGAGAGAGAAGGGCGGUAGUGGUUGGGUUGGGUUGGAUGCGAAAGGGCUUAAAUCAGAGGAGGAAGGACGGGUUUGGCUGGGUGGGUGACAGGACCCGACCCAAUUUCCGCUUUGGAAUCCGAGCUGAAUCCUGUGCGUGUCCGACACCUGGCGAAUGUCGGGCACGAAUGACCUUUUUACCCUUCUCUUUUCAAAUUCUUUUUUUUUUUAAACUUCCCUUAGACUUCUACCGAAAAUUCGACAGAGUCUCCCCUGUAUUUUGACCAAACCCAAAGUCUUCCACCUGUCAAACAGUCUCAAAUAACACACCAACUACCAGACUAACUCAACCAACAGAUCUCAACUCCAGUUUCUCAUGUUCAACAAGAUAUCAAAGCAUUUCUAUACAAAUUUACAGAACUAUGAGAAAGUUACAACGAGAUCCUACACUUUGGGGGUGGGGCGAAAGCUGGGAAGAUGGCCCGAGUGGUUUCCUUCGUACUUCUAUGGCCUGGGGGCGAAAAACAAGGUUAAAAUUGUGAGUGGACAAAAAUAAAAUUCUUUAAAACAAAAACAAGUUAGAACAUAAUAACCCCCGUUUUGAAAUACUAGGGAUAUAAAUCGUUAAUUUAGCUAUAUUUCAAUAUAAGGAAUUCAAUAAACAUGAAUAAAUAUACUGACGAAUAAACUUGCAUAACUGAUCAAAUAUAUAUAAAGAUAAUAACGCAUGAAUAUCAAGAAACUGGUAUAAAAUCACGGGAAAUCAUAACUGGAUAAAAGAGCUCAAAAUCCUUUGAAACUACCACCUAGAUGUACCCCUGUCAUAUCCGUCAAUUCCCCUGGCAGGUCUCGGGCGUCACGCAGUCUACCCGAGCCGCAAACUGGCGAAAUCAAGGGACUAUGAUCAGCCUGAUCCGCCGGCAGGUCUCGAUGACACCAAGUCGACUCGAGCCGCUCUGGCAGGAUGCAGGGGACCGCAGUCAGCCUGAUCCGCAAUCCUGGCAGGUCUCGGGGACACAGAGUCAGCCGAGCCGCAAAUCCUGGCAGGUCUCGGGACACCAAGUCUGCCGAGCCGCAAAUUCUGGCACUCACGGUCCGAGCGUCCCCGAAACUCGUGAGGCAAAGUCAAGUGCACUGACGUAACUGAAAUCAGACUGGAUGUUCGUAGACAUCGGUCCGACUGUGGGUAAUCACCAUAAAUAGAUGGGUACAUGGUGGUUUAACAAGAAAUUCUGAUAACUCUCUGAAAUCUGAUAAGUCUGAACUAAAUUACUAUCUUUGUAUCAAAAGUCUCAAGUUUACUGCUCAACCAAUAUUAUAAAAAUAAAGAUAUUUCACAAUGCAAAUCAUGCUUCGAAAUUACGUAAUAACACUUAUUCAAGAUCAAAUAGAAAAUAUAAUUAUAAAAUCUUUUAGGAAAGAAAAGUCCACUCACUGUUGGUCCGAGCUAUCUGGACCCUUCGAAGAUCCCUCAUGUGGGUCAACUGGACCUCUGGUGCCUUACUCGAUUGAUUUGGUGGAGAAUUGAAGGAGAACGAAGGAGAUGAAGUUUGGAUGAAAAACAGGCGGAAAUCGCCAGUUUCCGGCCAAUUCCCGGCGGUCCAAGGCCGGCGACGGGUCGAGGAAGGGAGGCGGCGGCGAGGCGGACCGAUUGACACCAACGGCGGAGGUCGCCGUGCCCUGUAGCGACGGCACGCUCGAUCUGAAACAGGGAGGGGGGCGGCGGUUGCGACGGGAGAGAGAGAGAGAGAGGAGAGAGAAAUGAGGAGAGAGAAGAGAGAAGGAAGAGAUAAAAUCUGACUUUUUUUUCAAAUUACCGUUUUGCCCUUCGAGGUAAUUUAAUCGUAUCUUCUUCAUUACAAUUCCAAUUCGGGUCUACUCCGUGUCUACGGACUCGUUUCGCCGUGCUCUACGCAACGGCGCAAGCGAAAUUCUCAAAUUCUUUCUUGAUCAAAAAGUCAAAUUUUCCCCUAUUAAAAUAUGCGAGGGCAAAAUCGUCUUUUGGGUAGAAUAAAGAAAUCCUAAUUUUUAGAUAUUUUAGUUUGGGUUAUUACAGUGGGGGGUGGAGAGAUGAUGGGAGGUCGAUUUAACAGGGUUAAGUGUUGUUAAGUGGUUUACCACAUGUCAAAAAAAUAGAAGGAAAACAUGUCGGGCACAUGGCAUUUGGUAACAGUAAAAUUGGACUCAUGAAUGAGUUAGGUGUUGUGUGAUAGAGUGUAUUAGGGUGUACCAUGGGUAUUUUUAGUAGUUAAAUAGGAUGUACUGAGUUAAUUUUAUAAUUUGAUUUAAAUAUUAGGGUAUACUUAGAUCAUAGGGUGUACUCAGUUAAUUUUAAGGUUUGUUUAGCAACAUUCUAAUGUUUUGUUAUCCCCGGUCAAUAAUUUUAUAUCGUGUGGCUUAGAAGGAGGCCUGUUAUCCAACUCAUCUGGUCCACCGUCCAUGAUAUGAACCCGACUUGAGAAUCUUUUGGUGAAGUAGAACAACCCAACUUGAGAGUUGAGGCAGCCAAACUAGAAGGGAAGCAUCCCCACUCCAGUCCCGCUCCCCAUGUGCCCAAUACUUUGCUUGUUUACUUCACCUUUUAAACCUUUUAGGAUUUUCCAUAGGCUAAGAGGAAAACAACAACAUUACGGCCCAGUUUACGAAUGGAUUCGAGGGGAAAUUACUUCCCAUGCCAUUUUUUAAGGGAUGGAAAAUGGAGAUUCAUUUCCCAUAUUUGAUAAUCCUAGGAAAGUAACUAAGAAAUACUACUUUAUUUCCUUUCACAUAUUUGGUUUGUGUAGGAAUGUAAAACAAAGUUAGUUUAAUUUUUCAAUUAUAUCCAUAUGAAAUUAAAUUUUAAAAAAAAUGUAUUUAAUGCUAUAUUGUUAAUGGGGACAAUAUGGUCAUGAAAAAUGUGUAUUUAAUGUUGGCUAAUUUUCUCAAACUUUCUCAUGUGCAAGACAACGAUUUCUCAUGCCUAGACUUACCAAAUAUGGGAAAGCAAUUGAUUUCUCAUCACCAAGCCUCCUUUCCCAUGAACCAAACAGGACCUACAAGUUAUUAGCUUCAAGCCUUCAAGGAUUUUCAUAACAAAUCUUCCAAUCUCACACAAAAAUAAAAAAGCAUCCAUGUAUGUAAUUUCUAGAUUAAAAUCUCACUUUUUAGGCAUUCCAUUUUCUUAGGAUUAGGUAUUACUACGCACGGACAAUCUUACGAUUAUCUGCAAUUCAUCCUUCAAUAGCUAUGGACGUUAUAUCAAAUCAACAAUAAGACGUACAUUUCUUCAAAGAACUAAAUCAUGCGGAUGUCAACUUGCUCUCACUUAUAUGUUUGUCUCUCCAUAUGAGGAAGGGUGUUUAGCUUAAGGUUUUAGGGCGCGGUUGUCUAAGAACAAUAAGGUGAACAUGUUUUGUCAAAGUACAUGGGAGACCUUUAUCUUCAAACACAAAAAAUGGCCAAAAUUAAAUUAGCAAGGAUCGACAUAUGGAUGUGAGCUUUUACACAUUGCCACUAAUUCUCUCCAUACUUUUGUUGAAAUCAUUUACAAAAUAAGAAAACUUUAGUAAUUGAAGCGAAAGAGAAGAAUUACCAGAACAGAAAAUAAGAAAAAAGAAGCACCUAACCCAAACUUUAAGUCACGAAUUUAACAGUUUACUUUUUAAAAAAAGUAAGUUACAAAACAAUCCCCUUAUUGAUGAGGAUUGAGAAUUUAAGAGCACUAAUAACUUGAGUGAGGAAUAUUGCACAUGGACGAUGGAUCUCUCUCUCUCUCUUUGAAAAAAAAGAAAAAAGAAACAAAAAUCAACUUCAUUAUCCUUAGUGAAUUUGUUCUGGAUUAGUUGUGUUGCAAUGGAACAUCGAACCUACCUAGCUAAAAGGAAAAAAGAAAGGCCACUACGACAGUACUGCAGUAUAUUAUUCCAAGAAGACAAAUGUAAACUAUAUACGUGAAGAAUAUCUAUUAUUGGUCGUCAUUUUCAAUCCUCAUAAAAGAAAACUUACUUCGCCAUAAUUUCAGGUUGUUCUCAAGGCAGGAAGGUAAGGACACUUGAAAAGAUUCCUUCUCAUCAUCUAUACAAGGAAAUGUGUUCUCAUCAAGCUAGGGGACAAGGCAAAUUAGCAACCUUUAUACUCGAUAUAUUAUUCCAAGCAGAUAUACAUGUGAAGAAUAUUAUGAUCUUGAUCAAUAUGGAAUCAGUGGGUGUAUCGAUCGACCAUCCAAAGAAAAAGGAUAUCCUCUGCAUAUAUGUGUGCAUGCCAACAACUAUAAAAGGAGACCAUGAGGCAAUGAGUUGAUCAUCAAAGCAAACACACAGAUAUCCCAACUAAAAAUCAUUCAGUGAGACAAUGGCUGGAACCAAUGAUAUUAAAAUUAAAGGGUUCGAUUUGAGCAAAAACAGCGGCAACACGUCCGGAUUAACCCACUUCGCCAACAGAGCUGACGAGGGCGACAAGGGCGACAAUAAAAUCGAGGUUGAGGAUGCUAAAGCGCAAGAUAACAAGGGAAACUUGAAAGUACUGACCGACUUCGCCCAACGUGGUAAGGUGGGCCAGUCGGAUCGCCAAGAAAUCACGGGGAGCAAGCCACUUCAGACGGCAGCAUGAAAUUGAUGAAGGCCAUACCAUAAUAAAAUAUCUACACUAAAAUAAGAGCUGAUGCAGUAUCUGAGGCUCCUUCCUUGGUUAGGCCUCAUUAUCAUGUGCAAUACUAAUAUUAUUAUUCUAAUAAAAUAAUGGUAGCUUAUUAUUAAAUAUAUCAAAAUUCUAUACGUAUAACUUUUAGAUUAUUGAUACUGAUGACAUACCAACAAGAGAAAACGAUUCAAAAGUCCUUUCUCCAAUUCGUGAUGUUACAAAAUGAGACGUCAAAUUUAAAAAUAUAGUUGCAUACGAGUAUAAACUGAACCAAUAAGCAAUGUAUGAGUGACCAAAGGUCUCAAACGAUGCAUUUAAGAAGAAGGGUACUAAAUUAAAAGAUGUACGCCAGUGAACUAUGGCAAUCUCUCGUUGCAUGCACGCAUAUGCAAUUGAAGAAGACCUAACUUAUAUCACGAAGAAGUGGAUGGGUCUUUACAUAUGAAGUUUUUAAAAUUAACACUACCGGAAGACAAUAGGAGUAUCGGCGUAUCUGAUACAAGUAUCGGAGUCUCGGAGUAUUAGAUUUGAGCAUACCUGUCCAAAUAGGAGUAUCGGUGCAACAUAGAUGAAAAGGAAUUGGAUGUGAUUUCACAUAUUUUUAAAGAACAGGGGAAAUAAACCAAUUAAUCUCUUUCGUCUUGUCCACACAUUUCUUGUUGCAAAUUUUGGUUUUCAAAAAAUUUGGCAUUUCAAGCAACUUGGAAAACAUUUUGAUGAUCCAUUAUUGAACCUCUAAAGUCGAUAUUCAAUCCCUAUCGACCUUGCUCAAAAAAUGUCUCAUUUCAAUUAGUGCAGAGAAAAAUAAAGGCAGAGUUGAAAAUAGAUUUUUCAGUUUGGAAAGUGACAUUGAGAUGUAAAAAGACUAGACAUUAAGGUGGCAAGAGAGAUCUAACAGGAUCAGACAAAAAAGGAAAAAAAAAUGAAUGAAAAAUAGAAAAUGCCCUAGAAAGGGGAGAACAACUUAGUUGCAAUGGGGAUAACAAUAUCUUGCUAUUACUGGUCAAUAAUUUUAUACCACGUGGCCUAGAAGGAGGCCUGUUAGUCCAACUCAUCUGGUCCACUUCCCAUUAUAUGAACCCGACUUGAGAGUUUUGGUUUUUUGGUUGAAGUAGAACAACCCGACUUGAGAAUUGAGGCAGCCAAACUAGAAGGGAAGCAGCCCACUCCACUCCCGCUCCCCAUGUGCCCAGUACUUCGCUUGUUUACUUCACCUUUUAAACCUUUUAGGAUUUUUUUUAUAGGAUAAGAGGAAAACGACGACAUUACAAGUUAUUACGCAUCAACGUAUGUAAUUUCUAGAUUAAAAUCUCACUUUUUACGCAUGUCAUUAUCUUAGGAUUAUGUAUUACUACGCACUGACAAUCUUACGAUUAUCUGCAAUUCAUCCUUCAAUGACCAAAGACGUUAUAUCAAAUCAACAAUAAGACAUACAUUUCUCCAAAUAACUAAAUUAUGUGGAUUUCAACUUGCUCUCAUUUAUAUGUUUGUCUCUCUCCUCCUAUUGAUUAGCCUCUCCAUAAGAGCAAAUAUGAAAAAAGAAGCUCCCAAUCCGAACUUUAAGUCACAAGUUUAACAGUUUACUUUUAAACAAAAGCAAGUUACGAAACAAUCCCCUGAUUUCCUUGUUAAACAUCAACCGACCCAUUAUUGAUGAGGAUUGAGAAUCUAAGAGCAUAUGGACGAUGGAUCUCUCUCUCUUUUUGAAAACAAAAACAAAAACAAAAAACAAAAAUCAACUUCAUUAUCCUUGGUGAAUUUGUUCUGGAUUAGUUGUUUUGAAUUAGUACAGCUUACGUACGCAAUGGAACAUCGAACUUAGCUAGCUAAAAGGAAAAAAGAAAGGCCACUACUACAGUACCGCAGUAUAUUAUUCCAAGAAGACAAAUGUAAACUAUAUACGUGAAGAAUCUCUAGUAUUGGUCGUCAUUUUCAAUCCUUAUAAAAGAAAGCUUGCUUCGCCAUAAUUUCAGGUUGUUCUCAAGGCAGGCAGAGAGAGUACGUAGCUUGGCAAGAAAGGUAAGGGCACUUCAAAAGAUUGUUUCUCAUCAUCUAUAUGAGGAAAUGUGUUGCCAUCAAGCUAGCGGACAAGGCAAAUUAGCAACCUUUAUACUCGAUAUAUUAUUCCAAGCAGAUAUACAUGUAAAUAUAUGUGAAGAAUAUUAUGAUCAUGAUCAAUAUAGAAUCUGUAUCAUGAUCAGAGGGUAUCGAUCCAGCAUCCAAAGAAAAAGGAUAUACUCUGCAUAUGUGCAUGCCAACAACUAUAAAAGGAGACCAUGAGGCAAUGAGUCGAUCAUCAACGGAAACACACAGAUAUCCCAACUAAAAAUCCAUCGUGAGACAAUGGCUGGAACCAAUGAUAUUAAAAUUAAGGGGUUUGAUUUGAGCAACAACAAAGGCAACACGUCGGGAUUAACCCACUUCGCCAACAGAGCUGACGGGGGCGACAAUGGCAACAAUAAAAUCGAGGUUGAGGAUGCUAAAGGGCAAGGGAACACGGGAAACUUGAAAGUACUGACCGACUUCGCCCAACGCGGUAAAGUGGGCCAGUCGGAUCGCCAAGAACUACUCAAACCUCAGGCAUGAAAUUGAAGAAGGCCAGACCACAACAACUUGUCUGCUUGAUAGAUAUAUGUGCUAAAUUAUCUACACAAAAAUAAGAGCUGAUGUUUUAUCUGAGGCUCCUUCCUUGGUUAGGCCUCGUUAUCAUGUGUAAUAUUAAUAUUAUUAUUCUAAUAAAAUAAUGGUAGCUUAUUAUUAAAUAUAUCAAAAUUCUAUACGUAUAACUUUUAGAUUAUUGAUACUGAUGUCAACAAGAGAAAAUGAUUAAAAAGUCCUUUCUCCAAUUCGUGAUGUUACAAAAUGAGACUUCAAAUUUUAAAACUAUAGUUGCAUACGAGUACAAAACUGAACCAAACAAUGUAUGGGCCAGAGUGACCAAGGAUGUACGCCAGUGAACUAAUGGCAAUCUCUCGUUGCAUGCACGCAUAUGCAAUUGAAGGAGGCAUUAUCUGAGGCUCCUUCCUUGGCUAGGCCUCAUUUUCAAUUUUGAUUUCAACUUUGAUUUUGCUUAAACUUUGAUUUUGAGCUAGACUGUGAUUUCGACUUUGAUCUCCCAAUUCGUGCCUUAAGAAUCAGUUUCUCCCAACUCUAUUUACCAAAACCGAAAACUCUGAACUUUUCAAUUCGUCUGGCUACUCUCAGGGUUUCAUGCCUUAGUUUCCUCUCGCCAAAAAGCCAAAAAGACUUGGCUUUCAUGUAAUGCUAUACUCCUCGAUUGAACAAGCCGCGUCUUCAAAUUCAGCUUUCUCACUUCCUUUCUCUUUACUUUCUUUCUUUUGUUUUCCGGCUGGGAAAAUCAUGGAAGCAUUACAAAUUUAAGAGAAUAUUCUAGUAUUAGGGUCCAAACUGUACUAUUUAGGUAUUUUCAUUCUGAUUAAGAGUUCUUUUCUAGAAAUUUGGGGAAGAAAAAAUAGAGUUUCUGUUUUAGUGUUUGAUUUUCAUUACAGUGAAUUAUGUGAAACCGAAAUGUUUCUUGUCUGAUUUCAUCACUGCUUUCAAAUUGCAAAUUAAGGAUUUGAAGGUUAACAAUGCCCGUCUUUAACAAUGUCGCAUUUCAAUUAGUACAAAAGAAAAAUAAAGGCAUAGUUGAAAAUAGAUUUUUCAGUUUCGAAAGUGACAUUGAGAUUUAAAAAGACUAGACAUUAAGAUGGCAAGAGAGAUCUAAAAGGAUCAAACAAAAAAAGUGAAUGAAAAAUUGAAAAUGCCCUAGAAAGGGAGGAAAUCUUAGUUGCAAUGGGGAUAACAAUGUUUUGCUAUCCUCGAACAAUAAUUUUACACCACGUGACCUAGAAGGAGGCAUGUUAAUCUAACUCAUCUGGUCCACCGUCCAUGAUAUGAACCCGACUUGUGAGUUUUUUUUUUUUUUUGUUGAAGUAGAACAACCAAACUUGAGAGUUGAUGUCACAUCUCAGGAUCGGCUUCACCGUAGCACGAUAUUGUCUGCUUUGGGCCCCCUCGCUGUCCUCGCGGUUUUGUUUCUAGGAGCUCACGAGCAACUUCUCAGUUGGUCACUCAUCUUAGGAUUGCUCUGGCCCAAACUCACUUAACUUCGGAGUUCUCAUGACUCCGAAGCUAGUGAGCUCCUAAAAGGCCUCGUACUAAAUGGAAGUGGGCAUAUAUAUAUAAGGCACAACACCCCAUCUUCGUUGGUUGAUGUGGAAUGUUACAAUCCACCCCCCUUAGAGGUCUGACUUCCUCGUCGGCACACUCUCACCACACGGCAGAGUGGCUCUGAUACCAAACUGUCACAUCCCGGGAACGGCUCCGUCGUAGCACGAUAUUGUCCGCAUUGGGCCAACCUUUCUGCCCUCACGGUUUUGUUACUGGGAGCUCACGAGCAACUUCCCAGUGAAUCACUCAUCCUGGGAUUGCUCUAGCCCAAACUCGCUUCACUUCGGAGUUCCUAUGACUCCGAAGCCAAUUAGCUCCCAAAAGACCUCGUGCUAGAUAAAGGUGGGCACGUACAUAUAAGGCACAUCACCUUCUCUUCGUUGAUCGAUGUGGGAUGUUACAGUUGAGGGCUCCGUUGGUCGAUGUAGGAUGUUACAGUUGAGGCAGCCAAACUAGAAGGGAAGCAACCCAACUCCACUCCCUCUCCCCAUGUGCCCAGUUCUCUGCUCGUUUACUUCACCUUUUAAACAUUUUAGGAUUUUCCAUAAGCAAAGAGGAGAACGACCACAUUACGGUCUCGUUUGGUUCACGAACAGAUUUAAGGGGAAAUAACUUCUCAUGUCAUUUCUCAAGGGAUGAGAAAUGGAGAUUCAUUUCCCAUAUUUGGUAAUCCUAGGAAAAUAACAAAGAAAUACCACUUUAUUUCCUUUCACAUGUUUGGUUUGUCUAGGAAUGUAAAACAAAGUUUGUUUAAUUUUCCAAUUAUACCGAUAUGAAAUCAAAUAAAAAAAGAAUAUUUAAUGUUAUAUUGUAAUUCUAAACUGUUAAUAGGGACAAUAUGAUCAUGAAAAAUGUGUAUUUAAUGUUGGCUCAUUUGCUUAUUUUCCCAAACUUUCACAUGAGGAGGAAAACAAAACCCAAGGGGGGAGGAUGGCUUCACUUUCCCCUCUACUUUCCCAUGUACAAGGCAACGAUUUCUCAAGUCUGGACUUACCAUACAUGGGAAAGAAAUUAAUUUCUCAUCCCCAAGUCAUUUUUCCCAUAAACCAAACGGAGCCUACAGGUUAUAAGCUUCAACCUUUAAGGAUUUUCAUAACAAAUCUUGCAAUCUCAUACCAAGGAAAUAAAAAUAAAAAAAAGGAUCCAUGCGUGUAAUUUCUAGAUUAAAAUCUCACUUUUUACGCAUGCCAUUAUCUAAGGAUUAGGUAUGACUACACACGAACAAUCUUACAAUUAUCUGCAAUUCGUCCUUCAAUGGCCAAAGACGUUAUAUCAAAUGAACAAUAAGACGUACAUUUCUUCAAAGAACUAAAUUAUGUGGAUUUCAACUUGCUCUCACUUAUAUGUUUCUCUCUCUCCUCCUAUUGUUUAGCUUAAGGUUUUAGGGCGUGGUUGUCUAAGAACAAUAAGGUAAACAUGCUUACAAAAAAAGAUGGACAGCAAGGAUGGACAUAUGCGAAUGUGAGCUUUUACACAUUGCCACUAAUUUUCUCCAUGAUUUUGUUGAAAUCAUUAACAAAAUAAGAAACUUUAGUAAUUGAAGCGAAAGAGACUAAUUAUCAGAAGAGAAAAUAUGAAAAAAGAAGCUCCCAAUCCAAACUUUAAGUCACAAGUUUAACAGUUUACUUUAAAACAAAAGCAAGUUACGAAACAAUCCCCUGAUUUCCUUGUUAAACAUCAACCGACCCAUUAUUGAUGAGGAUUGAGAAUCUAAGAGCAUAUGGACGAUGGAUCUCUCUCUCUUUUUGAAAACAAAAACAAAAACAAAAAUCAACUUCAUUAUCCUUAGUGAAUUUGUUCGGGAUUAGUUGUGUUGAAUUAGUACAGCUUACUUACGCAAUCGAAUAUCAAACCUAGCUAGCUAAAAAGAGAAAAAGAAAGGCCACAACGACAGUACUGUAGUAUACGUGAAGAAUCUUAUGAUCUAUAAUAUUCUGUAUUAUUGGCCAUCAUUUUCAAUCCUUAUUAAAGAAAACUUGCUUCGCCAUAAUUUCAAGUUGUUCUGAAGGCAGGCAUAGAGAGCACGUAGCUUGGCAAGGGAGGUAAGGGCACUUCGAAAGAUUCCUUCUCAUCAUCUAUACAAGGAAAUGUGUUCUCAUCAAGCUACGGGACAAGGCAAAUUAGCAACCUUUAUACUCAGAUAUAUUAUUCCAAGCAGAUAAACAUGUAAAUAUAUGUGAAGAAUAUUAUGAUAAUGAUCAAUAUAGAAUCUGUAACAUUAUCAGAGGGGUAUCGAUCGACCAUCCAAAGAAAAGGAUAUCCUCUGCAUAUGUGCAUGCCAACAACUAUAAAAGGAGACCAUGAGGCAAUGAAUCAUCAAAGCAAAGACACAGAUAUCCCAACUAAAAAUCAAUCAGUGAGACAAUGGCUGGAACUGGAACCAAUGAUAUUAAAAUUAAAGGGUUCGAUUUGAGCAACAACAGCGGCAACACGUCGGGAUUAACCCACUUCGCCAACAGAGCUGAUGGGGGCGACAAGGGCGACAAUAAAAUCGAGGUUGAGGGUGCUAAAGCGCAAGAUAACAAGGGAAACUUGAAAGUACUUACCGAUUUCGCCCAACGCGGUGAAGUGGGCAGGUCGGAUCGCCAAGAACUUCUCAAGCCUCAGGCAUGAAAUUGAAGAAGGCCAUACCAUAUAUGUGCUGAAUUAUCUACACAAAAAUAAGAGCUGAUGUUUUAUCUGAGGCUCCUUCCUUGGUUAGGCCUCGUUAUCAUGUGUAAUAUUAAUAUUAUUAUUCUAAUAAAAUAAUGGCAGCUUAUUAUUAAAUAUAUCAAAAUUCUAUACGUAUAACUUUUAGAUUCUUGAGUGGGAAACCCUAGCUGCAUUCUGGUCCCUUUUCUUCUUGCCGACAACCAACCACAAGGAAACUAAAGGGGGAGGUGGCCACUGCCCCUCCCCCCCUUCGCCCAUCUUCCCUUUCUCUCCUCAUCUUCCCUUCUUUUUCUCCCAUCUUUUCCCUUCCUCUUAUGCCCUCUUCUCUUCCCAUUCCCUUUCCCAUAUAGUCUAGAUCUAUUUGGAUCUAGGUUUUGUUUGUUUGUUUGUUUGGUUUGGUUUGGUUGUUUUUGCAGUAUUCUAGGUGACUGGUAGUGACGUUGGAUUGUGUCUAUUAUCGGGAGAGUUGUGAUACCUAGUGGCUGAUGUUUUGUCUCUGUUUCAACGACGGCGGCAGUAGCGACACUAGUGAUAGUUAUUGGAUGUGGUGCUCUUCUUUAUUCUGCACUUACCGAAGAACUAUGCUUGGUCAUAGGAGGUUUUCUUUGUCAGAUUCUGAGUUGAAGUGGAGUGCUUCUUAGGGGUCCUUUUAUUGUUGCUUCUAUGUUCCUCCUCUGUGUUCUCUCCUGUUUUCUGUUAUGGUAUGCCUUGUAGUUUGUAUGGGUGUCAAAAUACUAUGAUUUUGCUCAUAGAAGGCUUCUUUUGACAGUUGGGAUAUUCUACGAUCCUCUUCUGUGGGUUUACUAUUUGGGGUUUCUGUCGUUCUCUCAUGUGGGUGUACUAUGUUGGUAUCUAGUUGAGGUUUUCGUCGGAGUUCUUUUUGUUAGUUUUCGUUUUUGAUUUGUUCUUUUAUUGUAAUGGUCCAAAGCGACCAGAAUUAAACUCUCUUGUUAGUCCAUGACAUGUGUGGUACUCUUUUCUCCCCGGGGUUUGUCCCUUGAGAUUGCCCUAGGAAGGUUUUAACGAGGCCACUAUAUCAUGUUGCUCAUUGUACGUCUUUGGUUCUAUUAAUUAAUUCUCUUUCUUAAAAAUAACAAAAAUAAAUAAAUAAAUAAAUAAAAAUUUAGAUUAUUGAUAACGAUGUCAACAAGAGAAAAUGAUUAAAAAGUCCUUUCUCCAAUUCGUGAUGUUACAAAAUGAGACUUCAAAUUGUAAAACUAUAGUUGGAUACGAGUAUAAAACUGAACCAGGCAAUGUAUGGGCCAGAGUGACCAAGGUUGUACGACAGUGAACUAAUGGCAAUUUCUCGUUGCAUGCACGCAUAUGCAAUUGAAGAAUGCCAUAAUAAUAUGUGUUUUUACUAAAUUAUCUACACUAAAAUAAAAACUGAGGCAUUAUCUGAGGCUCUUUCCUUGGCUAGGCCUCAUUUUCAAUUUUGAUUUCAACUUUGAUUUCGCUUAAACUUUGAUUUUGAGCUAGACUGUAAUUUCGACUUUGAUUCUGAUUCUCUCCCAAUUCAUGCCUUAAGAAUCAGUUUCUCCCAACUCUAUUUACCAAAACCAAAAACUCUAAACUUUUCAAUUCGUCUGGGUACUCUCAGAGUUUCAUGCCCUAGUUUCCUCUCGCCAAAAAGCCAAAAAGACUUGGCUUUCAUGUAAUGCUAUACUCCUCGAUUGAACAAGCUGCGUCUUCAAAUUCAACUUUCUCACUUCCCUUCUCUUUACUUUCUUUUCUUUUGUUUUCCAGCCCGGAAAAUCAUGGAAGCAUUACAAAUUUAAGAGAAUAUUCUAGUAUUAGGGUCCAAACUGUACUAUUUAGGUAUUUUCAUUCUGAUUAAGAGUUCUUUUCUAGAAAUUUGGUGAAGAAAAAAUAGAGUUUCUGUUUUAGUGUUUGAUUUUCAUUAUAGUGAGUUAUGUGAAAUCGAAAUGUUUCUUGUGUGAUUUCAUCACUGCUUUCAAAUUGCAAAUUAAGGAUUUGAAGGUUACAAAUUAUUAUGUAGAUAAUUUUUGGGAAUUUAAGAGGCAGUACAGUGUUUGUAUAAGUCUUGAGAUAGACCAAUUUACCACAUGCUCGAUUUCUAUAUAUAAAUUUUUUUAAAUCAUUCUUUUGUUUUAUUUAUUCUGUUAAUUUGUCAUAAUGUGUAAUAUGAUAGCUUCUAAUUCUUUCUUCCUAUUUCUUCUUUUUUGUUAUUCUCUCCCAAAUGAAAUGAAGACCUAACUUAUAUCAAGAAGAAGAGGAUGGAUCCUUACAUAUGAAGAUUUUAAAAUUAACAUUAUUGGAAGACAGUAGGAGUAUCGGCAAUUUGAUACAAGUAUCGGAGUAUCAAAUACGAGCAUGCCCGUCUUUAACAAUGUCUCAUUUCAAUUAGUACAAAAGAAAAAUAAAGGCAGAGUUCAAAAUAGAUUGUUCAGUUUCGAAAGUGACAUUGAGAUUUAAAAAGACUAGACAUUAAGAUGGCAAGAGAGAUCUAAAAGGAUCAAACAAAAAAAAUGAAUGAAAAAUUGAAAAUGCCCUAGAAAGGGAGGAAAUCUUAGUUGCAAUGGGGAUAACAGUAUUUUGCUAUCCUCGAUCAAUAAUUUUAUACCACGUGACCUAAGGAGGCAUGUCAAUCUAGCUCAUCUGGUCCACCGUCCAUGAUAUGAACUCGACUUGAGAGUUUUUUUUUUUUUUUUUUUUUUUUUUUGGGGUUGAAGUAGAACAACUAGACUUGAGAGUUGAUGUCACAUCUCAAGGUCGGUUCCACCGUAGCACGAUAUUGUCUGCUUUGGGCCCCCUCUUUGUCCUCGCGGUUUUGUUUUUAGGAGCUCACGAGCAACUUCCCAGUUGGUCACCCAUCUUGGGAUUGCUCUAGCCCAAACUCACUUAACUUCGGAGUUCUCAUGACUUCGAAAUCAGUGAGCUCCCAAAAGGCCUCGUGCUAAAAGGAGGUGGGCAUAUACAUAUAAGGCGCAACACCCCCUCUCCGUUAGUCGAUGUGGAAUGUUACAAUCCACCCCCUUUAGAGGUCCGACGUCCUCGUCGGCACAGUCUCACCACACGGCAGAGUGGCUCUAUGCCAAAUUGUCGCAUUCCGGGAUCGGCUCCGUCGUAACACGAUAUUGUCCGCGUUGGGUCAACCUCUCUGCCCUCACGAUUUUGUUUCUGGGAGCUUACGAGCAACUUCCCAGUAGAUCACUCAUCCAAACUCGCUUAACUUCGGAGUUCCCAUGACUCCGAAGCCAGUGAGCUCCCAAAAGACCUCGUGCUAAAUGGAGGUAGGCAUGUACAUAUAAGGCACAUCACCUCCGCUCCGUUGGUCGAUGUGGGAUGUUACAGUUGAGGGCUCCGUUGGUCGAUGUACGAUGUUACAGUUGAGGGCUCCGUUGGUCGAUGUAGGAUGUUAUAGUUGAGGCAGCCAAAAUAGAAGGGAAGCAACCCUACUCCACUCCCUCUCCCCAUGUGCCCAGUUCUCUACUCGUUUACUUCACCUUUUAAACCCCUUCGUACUUGAAGACCUGGCUGGCAAUUUGAUUGAAGCGAAAGAGACUAAUUAUCCAUGCUUUUGUUGAAAUCAUUAACAAAAUAAGAAACUUUAGUAAUUGAAGCGAAAGAGACUAAUUAUCAAAACAGAAAAUAUGAAAAAAGAAGCUCCCAAUCCGAACUUUAAGUCACAAGUUUAACAGUUUACUUUAAAACAAAAGCAAGUUACGAAACAAUCCCCUUAUUUACUUGUUAAACAUCAACCGACCCAUUAUUGAUGAGGAUUGAGAAUCUAAGAGCACAUGGACGAUGGAUCUCUCUCCCUUUUUGAAAACAAAAACAAAAACCAACUUCAUUAUCCUUAGUGAAUUUGUUCUGGAUUAGUUGUGUUGCAAUGGAACAUCGAACCUACCUAGCUAAAAGGAAAAAAGAAAGGCCACUACGACAGUACUGCAGUAUAUUAUUCCAAGAAGACAAAUGUAGACUAUAUACGUGAAGAAUAUCUAGUAUUGGUCGUCAUUUUCAAUCCUCAUAAAAGAAAACUUACUUCGCCAUAAUUUCAGGUUGUUCUCAAGGCAGGAAGGUAAGGACACUUGAAAAGAUUCCUUCUCAUCAUCUAUAUAAGGAAAUGUGUUCUCAUCAAGCUAGGGGACAAGGCAAAUUAGCAACCUUUAUACUCGAUAUAUUAUUCCAAGCAGAUAUACAUGUGAAGAAUAUUAUGAUCUUGAUCAAUAUGGAAUCUGUAUCAUGAUCAGUGGAUGUAUCGAUCGACCAUCCAAAGAAAAAGGAUAUCCUCUGCAUAUAUGUGUGCAUGCCAACAACUAUAAAAGGAGACCAUGAGGCAAUGAGUUGAUCAUCAAAGCAAACACACAGAAAUCCCAACUAAAAAUCAAUCAGUGAGACAAUGGCUGGAACUGGAACCAAUGAUAUUAAAAUUAAAGGGUUCGAUGUGAGCAACAACAGCGGCAACACGUCGGGAUUAACCCACUUCGCCAACAGAGCUGCCGAGGGCGACAAGGGCGACAAUAAAAUCGAGGUUGAGGAUGCUAAAGGGCAAGGGAACACGGGAAACUUGAAAGUACUGACCGACUUCGCCCAACGCGGUAAAGUGGGCCAGUCGGAUCGCCAAGAACUUGUCAAACCUCAGGCAUGAAAUUGAAGAAGGCCAUACCAUAACCACUUGUCUGCUUGAUAGAUAUAUGUGCUAAAUUAUCUACACAAAAAUAAGAGCUGAUGUUUUAUCUGAGGCUCCUUCCUUGGUUAGGCCUCGUUAUCAUGUGUAAUAUUAAUAUUAUUAUUCUAAUAAAAUAAUGGUAGCUUAUUAUUAAAUAUACCCAAAUACUAUACGUAUAACUUUUAGAUUAUUGAUACUGGUGUCAACAAGAGAAAAUGAUUAAAAAGUCCUUUCUCGCAUUCGUGAUGUUAGAA
rnacentral:lncRNA from 1 species